rnacentral:misc_RNA from 1 species
GCAAACUUGGUCAUUUAGAGGAAGUAAAAGUCGUAACAAGGUUUCCGUAGGUGAACCUGCGGAAGGAUCAUUCAUAAUAAGUGUUCAAUGGCACUUUCAAAUCCAUUACCCCACCUUGUGUGCAUUGUCGGAGGAGAGAGUUAGGGAGCUCGAUUCGUCGUUGUUUCCCCCUUUCUCUCUUUUUCAUAUACAUACUCUUGUUAUCUCAGUAUCAGUCUACAAUCUAUUUGGAGUGUAACAAACUCGAAAUACAACUUUCAACAACGGAUCUCUUGGCUCUCGCAUCGAUGAAGAACGCAGC